rnacentral:rRNA from 1 species
GAUGAACGCUGGCGGCGUGCCUAAUACAUGCAAGUCGAGCGAACGGACGAGAAGCUUGCUUCUCUGAUGUUAGCGGCGGACGGGUGAGUAACACGUGGAUAACCUACCUAUAAGACUGGGAUAACUUCGGGAAACCGUAGCUAAUACCGGAUAAUAUUUUGAACCGCAUGGUUCAAAAGUGAAAGACGGUCUUGCUGUCACUUAUAGAUGGAUCCGCGCUGCAUUAGCUAGUUGGUAAGGUAACGGCUUACCAAGGCAACGAUGCAUAGCCGACCUGAGAGGGUGAUCGGCCACACUGGAACUGAGACACGGUCCAGACUCCUACGGUAGGCAGCAGUAGGGAAUCUUCCGCAAUGGGCGAAAGCCUGACGGAGCAACGCCGCGUGAUUGAUGAAGGUCUUCGGAUCGUAAAACUCUGUUAUUAGGGAAGAACAUAUGUGUAAGUAACUGUGCACAUCUUGACGGUACCUAAUCAGAAAGCCACGGCUAACUACGUG